GGCGGUAUAGCUCAGUGGUAGAGCAUUCGACUUCAGAUCGAAAUGUCUCCAGUGCAAACAUGGGUGCCCCCU
rnacentral:tRNA from 1 species